CCAGUAUGGCACCAGUAUGGCACCAGUAUGGCACCAGUAUGGCACCAGUAUGGCACCAGUAUGGCACCAGUAUGAUCCCAGUCCCUCCCAGUCCUUCCCAGUCCCGCCUAAUCCUUCCCAGUCUCUCCCAGUCCCUCCCAGUAUACCCCAGUUCCUCCCAGUUUGACUCCCAGUCCCUCCCAGUAUAUCCCAGUAUGACUCCCAGUCCCCUCCAGUCCUUCCCAGUCCCUCCCAGUCCCAUCCCAGUAUAUCCCAGUAUGGUUCCCAGUCCUUCCCAGUCCCUCCCAGUCCUUCCCAGUCCCUCCCAGUAUAUCCCAGUAUGGUUCCCAGUCCUUCCCAGUCUCUCCCAGUUCCUCCCAGUUCCUCCCAGUGCUCUCAGUAUGGCUUCCAGUUCCUCCCAGUAUAUCCCAGUCCUUCCCAGUCCCUCCCAGUCCCUCCCAGUAUAUCCCAGUAUGGCACCAAACCCCUCCCAGUCCUUCCCAGUAUAUCCCAGUCCUCCCAGUUUGACUCCCAGUCCCUCCCAGUAUAGUUCCCAGUCCCUCCCACUAUAUCCCAGUAUGUCCCAGUAUGGCUCCCAGUCCUUCCCAGUUUGACUCCCAGUCCCUCCCAGUACAUCCCAGUCCUUCCCAGUCCCUCCCAGUAUAUCCCAGUAUGGCUCCCAGUCUCUCCCAGUCUCUCCCAGUCCCUCCCAGUACAUCCCAGUCCUUCCCAGUCCCUCCCAGUAUAUCCCAGUAUGGCUCCCAGUCUCUCCCAGUCUCUCCCAGUCCCUCCCAGUACAUCCCAGUCCUUCCCAGUCCCUCCCAGUAUAUCCCAGUAUGGCACCCAGUCCCUCCCAGUACAUCCCAGUCCCUCCCAGUUUGACUCCCAGUCCCUCCCAGUAUAUCCCAGUAUGGCUCCCAGUCUCUCCCAGUCUCUCCCAGUCCCUCCCAGUACAUCCCAGUCCCUCCCAGUUUGGCUCCCAGUCCCUCCCAGUUUGGCUCCCAGUCCCCCCCAGUCCUUCCCAGUCCCUCCCAGUACAUCCCAGUCCUUCCCAGUUUCCUUCCCAGUCCCUCCCAGUACAUCCCAGUCCUUCCCAGUUUGACUCCCAGUCCCUCCCAGUACAUCCCAGUCCUUCCCAGUCCCUCCCAGUAUAUCCCAGUAUGGCUCCCAGUCUCUCCCAGUCUCUCCCAGUCCCUCCCAGUACAUCCCAGUCCCUCCCAGUUUGGCUCCCAGUCCCCCCCAGUCCCUCCCAGUGCUCCCAGUUUACCUGUUGUACAUGGCCCAGUACAGCCCCACAUUUGGGGCGCUCUCCAGAUGUUCCCGGACCUCCAGCACAGGGGGGGUAGCAGCUGCCACCUCCUCCUGGAGAAAAUCCCAGUAUAAACCAGUAUAAACCAGUAUAAACCAGUAUAACCCAGUAUAAACCAGUAUACACCAGUACAAACCAGUACACACCAGUAACCCCCCCACUUCCCUCCCAGUUGCCCCCCAGGACCCCAUAAGUGCCCCCCACUGCCCCAUAACCACCCUGUGGCCCCUCCCAGUUCAAACCAGUACCCUCCCAGUACAAACCAGUAUAAACCAGUACGAACCAGUAUAGACCAUUAACCCCCA
rnacentral:lncRNA from 1 species